ACAUCCAGGGGGUCAAUGACGUUGCCCAGAGAUUUGGACAUCUUGCGACCGUGUGCGUCUCGUACCAUUGGAUUGAGCCGUUGUCCGAAGAACACCAUCCUGGCGACCCAGAAGAACAAUAUAUCGUGUCCAGUUUCCAGAAGAGUGGUGGGAUAGAGCGCCUGACGAAGUAAAUGCAAGAAUAUUAAUAAGAUAUUAAAAUACUAACACAAUUGUUUCAUGAUAAUUUAGGUCAAUCUUAAAUCAGAUCUCAUUAUAAAACUUGUCUUACAGAAAAUGCCGUAACCUAAGUAUACAAAUAGUAUUACAUUAUUCUUUCCAUCCUC